GUGGGGAAUUUUGGACAAUGGGCGCAAGCCUGAUCCAGCAAUGCCGCGUGCAGGAAGAAGGCCUUCGGGUUGUAAACUGCUUUUGUACGGAACGAAACGGUCCUGGUUAAUACCUGGGGCUAAUGACGGUACCGUAAGAAUAAGCACCGGCUAACUACGUGCCAGCAGCCGCGGUAAUACGUAGGGUGCGAGCGCUAAUCGGAAUUACUGGGCGUAAAGCGUGCGCAGGCGGUGCUGUAAGACAGGCGUGAAAUCCCCGGGCUCAACCUGGGAAUUGCGCUUGUGACUGCAGUGAUGGAGUACGGCAGAGGGGGAUGGAAUUCCGCGUGUAGCAGUGAAAUGCGUAGAUAUGCGGAGGAACACCGAUGGCGAAGGCAGUCCCCUGGGCCUGUACUGACGCUCAUGCACGAAAGCGUGGGGAGCAAACAGGAUUAGAAACCCUGGUAGUCC
rnacentral:rRNA from 1 species